UACGUAGGGAGCGAGCGUUGUCCGGAAUCAUUGGGCGUAAAGAGCGCGUAGGUGGAUCAAUUAGUCUGCUGUGAAAGUCAAAGGCUCAACCUUUGAAAGCCGGUGGAUACUGUUGAUCUAGAGUACGGAAGGAGGCGAGUGGAAUCCCGGUGUAGUGGUGGAAUGCGUAGAUAUCGGGAGGAACACCAGUGGCGAAGCGGUGCCUGGGGCUUUGCUGACGCUGAUGCGCGAAAGCGUGGGGAGC
rnacentral:rRNA from 1 species